UACGAAGGGGGCGAGCGUUGUUCGGAUUUACUGGGCGUAAAGGGCGCGCAGGCGGCUAGUUUUGUCGAGUGUGAAAGCCCCGGGCUUAACCUGGGAACUGCGCUCGAAACGGGCUGGCUAGAGAUCGGGAGAGGAGAGUGGAAUUCCCAGUGUAGAGGUGAAAUUCGUAGAUAUUGGGAAGAACACCGGUGGCGAAGGCGGCUCUCUGGACCGAUACUGACGCUGAGGCGCGAAAGCCAGGGGAGCAAACGGG
rnacentral:rRNA from 1 species